GGCUCGUUGGUCUAGGGGUAUGAUAACUUGCUAACUGUGCAAGAGGUCCCGGGUUCAAAUCCCGGACGAGCCC